rnacentral:rRNA from 1 species
GACGAACGCUGGCGGCGUGCCUAAUACAUGCAAGUUGAGCGCUGAAGGUUGGUACUUGUACCAACUGGAUGAGCAGCGAACGGGUGAGUAACGCGUGGGUAAUCUGCCUUUGAGCGGGGGACAACAUUUGGAAACGAAUGCUAAUACCGCAUAAAAACUUUAAACACAAGUUUUAAGUUUGAAAGAUGCAAUUGCAUCACUCAAAGAUGAUCCCGCGUUGUAUUAGCUAGUUGGUGAGGUAAAGGCUCACCAAGGCGAUGAUACAUAGCCGACCUGAGAGGGUGAUCGGCCACAUUGGGACUGAGACACGGCCCAAACUCCUACGGGAGGCAGCAGUAGGGAAUCUUCGGCAAUGGACGAAAGUCUGACCGAGCAACGCCGCGUGAGUGAAGAAGGUUGUCGGAUCGUAAAACUCUGUUGGUAGAGAAGAACGUUGGUGAGAGUGGAAAGCUCAUCAAGUGACGGUAACUACCCAGAAAGGGACGGCUAACUACGUG